rnacentral:misc_RNA from 1 species
GAUGAAGAACGCAGCGGAAUGCGAUAAGUAAUGUGAAUUGCAGAAUUCAGUGAAUCAUCGAAUCUUUGAACGCACAUUGCGCCCCUUGGUAUUCCAUGGGGCAUGCCUGUUCGAGCGUCAUUUGUACCUUCAAGCUCUGCUUGGUGUUGGGUGUUUGUCUCGCCUCUGCGUGUAGACUCGCCUCAAAACAAUUGGCAGCCGGCGUAUUGAUUUCGGAGCGCAGUACAUCUCGCGCUUUGCACUCAUAACGACGACGUCCAAAAGUACAUUUUUACACUCUUGACCUCGGAUCAGGUAGGGAUACCCGCUGAACUUAAGCAUAUCAAUAAGCGGAGGA